UACGUAGGGUGCAAGCGUUAAUCGGAAUUACUGGGCGUAAAGCGCGCGCAGGCGGCUUUGCAAGUCAGAUGUGAAAUCCCCGGGCUUAACCUGGGAACUGCAUUUGUGACUGCAUGGCUGGAGUGCGGCAGAGGGGGAUGGAAUUCCGCGUGUAGCAGUGAAAUGCGUAGAUAUCCGGAGGAACACCGGUGGCGAAGGCGGCUUCCUGGACCGACACUGACGCUGAGGCGCGAAAGCUAGGGGAGCAAACGGG
rnacentral:rRNA from 1 species